CUCAGUAACACGUGGAUAACCUGCCCUUAGGACUGGCAUAACCCCGGGAAACUGGGGAUAAUUCCGGAUAGUUCAUGGUAGCUGGAAUGCUCCAUGAUCGAAAGCUAUUGCGCCUAAGGAUGGGUCUGCGGUCUAUCAGGUAGUAGUGGGUGUAAUGUACCUACUAGCCGACGACGGAUACGGGUUGUGGGAGCAAGAGCCCGGAGAUGGAUUCUGAGACAUGAAUCCAGGCCCUACGGGGCGCAGCAGGCGCGAAAACUUUACAAUGCGGGAAACCGCGAUAAGGGGACACCGAGUGCCAGCGUCUUAUGUUGGCUGUCCGCAUGUAUAAAUCACAUGUGUUAGCAAGGGCCGGGCAAGACCGGUGCCAGCCGCCGCGGUAACACCGGCGGCCCGAGUGGUGGCCACUAUUAUUGGGUCUAAAGGGUCCGUAGCCGGUUUGGUCAGUCUUCCGGGAAAUCUGACGGCUUAACCGUUAGGCUUUCGGGGGAUACUACCAGGCUUGGGA
rnacentral:rRNA from 1 species